AGCGUUGUCCGGAAUUAUUGGGCGUAAAGAGCUCGUAGGCGGCUUGUCACGUCGAUUGUGAAAGCCCGAGGCUUAACCUCGGGUCUGCAGUCGAUACGGGCUAGCUAGAGUGUGGUAGGGGAGAUCGGAAUUCCUGGUGUAGCGGUGAAAUGCGCAGAUAUCAGGAGGAACACCGGUGGCGAAGGCGGAUCUCUGGGCCAUUACUGACGCUGAGGAGCGAAAGCGUGGGGAGCGAACAGG
rnacentral:rRNA from 1 species